UACAGGCUUUGACGGGAAGUUUCUGCCCACAUAAAACGGGGAGGAGGAAGAAAAGUGCCAGUCAAGAGGACACUCAGGUAACAAAGCUUUCAAAGUGGUUAAAAUAAAGUGUAAAAUGUGUGAAUUUACCUGAAGAGUUCAAAGUGAAGGUUAUUCUUUGUCAGGGAAGCUUGAAUCCAUAAAAAAGUGUACACAAUACUUUAUAUGACAGACAAUGAAAUGAAGGUGGAGAGUCAUAAAUAACUCAGAUCCCUGGAUGGUAAUGAAGAAAGGCCGUAAACCCAGCUCUCUAAAACAUGUCCACCAAAGCAUAAAUCAGGUCUAUAAAGCUGUGUUUAAAUAUUCUUUUUAUCUCUUUCAACUCUUCUUCAUCUUAUAUUUUAGAUCUUUUUUUAAUAAAUACUGAACAUGUUAUUUAACAGUUGGUUAAUGCUGAUUAAUGUGUGGUUUAUUUGAAUGGUAGUUGGUUCUCAUUAAACAGAAUCAUGUGAAUCUUACUAAAUAUUAAUUGUUAUAAUUAUAAAUUGAAUAUGUUGAGUUUCGUUGGACAUGUAUUAACCUUGAUGUACGCAUUUUAUUUUGUUGUGUAGCUUUGUUGAACAAAAAUCACUAUGACAACACACCUGCCUAUGUAAAGCUGGACAAAGCAACAUUAUUAUUGAUCUUAUAUAAAUUUAUCAUAUCAACAUUAGGUAUUUUAGCAGUAUGAAUAUAUCUUUGAGCUUCAGAGGGGUGAUGAGUAAGUAUUAACUGGUGUUAUCAAGAAUGUAAUACUAUUCAAAAACAUGACUGGAGUAAUAAAAUAAAGCAGCUGCCAGAAAUGACCAUGUCUACCUAAAGGUCUCUGGGUACCCCCGUGCUUUUUAGGAUAGCCGUGUUAUUUCUACCCUGAUGUCCAGAUGUCCUCGGUGACGACUCAGCGUUGGUUGUCUGCAGGGUUCAAAACCUUGACCUUGACCUCACUGCAACGUCACAAGUUCAGUCCCAGCUGCCACGGGGUCGUCAAGGGCAGGUCUUUCUCUGUCGUUGCUCUCUUAGAUGCAAAAAGAAAGUUUAGCUGUGAUAGCUGAGGUCAGGAAAAAUCAGGUUUACUGUUUCAAGAUCAGCAUCCAACAGUUAGGAGAAAACUAAAUGAAUCAGAUUUAAAACUGCGCAGCACCAACCUCCUUAAACGUUGGUUAUUUAUUCAACCCCUGCAUUAGGUGGCAAGUGAUUUUCAUAUUAACAUGCAAUUUACUUGAAUUGCACAAUAAUUGAUUUCAAUUUUUAGUGGAUUAAAAUAUAUGAUCAAAAUGUUUAAUUUGUUCAUAGAUGAAGAUAUAAGGGUGUAUUGUUAUGGCUGCUGCAAUCACAAUCAAGAGGCCACAUCUAAUACUGAACAUAAAAACAUUUAGGGGAAUAAAAACUCAUAAAAAUACUGAAAAAACUUUCUAAAAGGGGCUAAAACUUACAACUCAAGCAUUAAAAGAUAUUUUAGAAAUGAAACAAAAAUGCAGUAUGAGGAAAAUUGGACUUUUAAUGUAAUAAAAAUAUGAACUGCUCAAAAAGGAUGAAUAAACAGUGCAGCCUGCAUGAAUAAAUGUACAAAUACCAGCAUUAAGCCUGUAUAUUUGUGUUUUUAUUCCUCCUGUCCUUGAUUUUUUUUCUAGUUAGAUAUUUCCUUUAGUCCUCAACAUUCAUCUUUCAGACUUCAUUGAAGGGCUGCAACAAUUGAUGCAUCGUUUCUACUUUAUUUUCAGGUAGUUUAAACUCUUUUUAAAGUGAUACUUUUAUAAAGCAAACCUCUCAGGGUUCCAGCUCCAGCUCCUUAAAGAGAUACUACGAUGGUGCAGUAAAAAUGCUGUAAAGCAAGUGAACUGAGGAUGCUAAUCUGAGCUGUAUGACACACUGAAGAUCAAGUGAUAAAUGUAGUUCUUGUAACAAUAAUCCGGAAGUAGUUUGGUGAUUGAUCUUAUACAAAUCUGCUGCAAAAAAAGGACAAGAUGUUGGUUUAGGUACAGGAGGACAAAGAAAGUUUUGCAAUGGCCUGAUGAAGACCAUCAAGUUCGAAUGUUGUGAUCGUUCAACUUUAUAUUUGCAUCAAGUGUUGUAGGGAAAAUAAUCGUGGUUUUAACGUCGUGUUUGUCUGGUUCAUUUUCUCCUUUUAAGAUUUUUUUUUGUUUCACCUUUAAUGACGCUAACAAUGUCGGUUUCCCCUGCUUGUCCUCCAUCUUUCACCUUAAUAUAACUUUUAUUAGACGGGGAGGAGGAAUCACUCUCCCAGAUGCUGCUGUGAGCUGAGCUUCAUCACCUGCUGCUGCUGCUGCUGCCCAUACACACACUCACAUGCACACUAAACACACACACCCAUACAGAUGCCCCCCUUUUCUGGGUUGCAGUCUCAACUCCGUCGCCAUGGAAACAGCUAAGAUGCCGUGUGCUGGAGAAGUAAAAAUGGGUGUGUGUGUGUGUGUGUUUAGCCAGUGAAGGUAUAGAGAAAUCUUCUGAAGGACACAUAUAGAUUAAAGGUGAGUGUGUUUUAUUGACGCUGUUUAUGAAUCCCACACACAUCUCCUUUUUUUUACCCCGACACGCAAAAAUCUUCCACUUUUCUGCGACUUCUUAGACGUUUUUCCUCACUCUUUUCACCUCUCCUCUUUGACAGCCUCCUCCUCUCUUUUUGUUUCCUCUUGCUCACCUGCUCGCUGAGACCCUUUAGUCGCACACAUUCACUUUGAGCACCUUACAUUUCAAUGACAGCCUAAAAAUAUUUUUUUUUUCGCUGUAAGUGACCCCCAGAGGGAAUCAAGCAUCCUAAACGCCUGCCUACUCUCUCUCUCCAUCUCUGUCUCUCUCUCUCUCUCUCACCCUUUUCUUUCUCCUCUCUAAAUAGCCAGAUGGGCCAGAGCUUCUUUUAUUCUGGAGGCCCGGUGCACGUGCCGAGGACACAGGGCCUCACAGCGUUUAAUUCACAAGCUUUAGACACCCCCUUCUUUUAACCCCCCGUGACCAACAGCAUCACCCACCUCCCUCUCCGACUCCACUCACUCUCACUCUGUAUUUUGUCCCUCCUGGCCUCCACUAUUCUAGUCGACUCUAUUAUCUCUUCCUCAAUUACACUCUUCUUGCCUCUGCUUUGUCCUUUUUAUUGUCAAGUUUCUUGUCAUCUUUAUUUUUUUAUAUGAUCUUCUCUCUAUCAUAAGAUCUUUUUUUAUUAUCUUCUUUGCCAAACCUGCUCCACUCCCUCUUGUAUUUUCUUAACUUCCACACAAGAAGGUGUCACUUUGCGUAUCAUAUUUUAUCUCCUAUAAUACCUCACACAUAAGGUUGACUCUAGUUUUUCUGUGACAUGCUGUUUUUAUCUGCUACUUUUCCAAUACAAAGUCCAAGACAAUUGAAAAAUUUGACAAGAGGAUCAAAUCUUCUGAUGGGUUUGGAGGUAAGAGCGCAAAAGCAGCUUUUUAAAAAGUUUUUGUUUAUUUUCAGAGACAAAAUACUUAAAAAAUACUUAUUCAAAAAGUUAAAAGAUUUGUAUUUUUAAACUUGUACUUUGUCUUUCUGAUCACUCAAAGUGCUUUUACUCACGCUGAUUGCAGAGGCUGCUAAAGUAGGAGACCACCAGUGUGUCCAUUCACAUGCAUUAACACUCAACUGACAGGGUCACAGAGAGCAAGCUGGAGUUCACCGUCUUGCCCGAGGACACUUUGGUACGUGACUGCAAGAGCUGGGAUCAAACCGACAACCUUGCAACUGAGAGAUUACCUACUCAUGCAUCAGCCCCCAAAAGGCUCUGAAAGGUACUUUAACCCCCAACACAUACAGUGGAAUACUGCAGUAACUCAUGUUCACAGAUGAUGGUCAUUAUUAUGCAGAAAUAAAAUGAAAGUGUAUGCUUAUUUUCAAACCAGAUUUCAGUUUUAAUGCCCUUAAACCCUGAAGAAUAAACUGUUUAUCCCCCAUUGAAAAAGUGCUGCAAAUACACAGAUAUUGUUUUUUCAUUUUACAGAUGGAGAACAUGGUGGAGGGGAGGGGGGGGGCACAAGUCCAAGCCGAGUGCUGGUUGAACUGCAGCCUGCAGGCUCGUUUGACCUCCUCCUCCUCCUCCUUCUCCUCCUCUUCCUCACACAGAGCACAUGAAUCUGACAGAGAGAUGCUUCAGCUUCCAUCCCUCUCACACACAUUGACCUUAGACACAGUGACUGAUGUUUAAAAACAGGCCUUUUACCAGCUGAGCGCCUGCCUUAAAGGGCUGAACUGG